AAAAGAAUGCGUCGAACCGGCCAAACCAGCAAGAUUAUCAAAGCUAAUAACGCUAAACUAGAGGCAGAAUUAUUUGGCGAGAGCAGUUCAUUCGGUGCUAACAUCAUUCCUGCAGCAACCACGUAUGAAGAUCCGGAACCAAUUAGCCAUCAUUCGUUUGAUGAAGAAGUUGAAGCAGAAAAAAAAUUAUCAUCGACUGGUUAAUUUCCGAUGAUUGUGACAAUAUAGAAAGCUACGAUAACAUCAACGAUGCGGAAGAUGAAAUUGAAUCAUCCUUGGACAAAGUGCAGGAGUUCCUAGAUGAAGAAGAACCAUUUGAAGAGGUUAUAAAAAAGUGGGCAUUAAAAACGUACCAAACCCAUCAAGCUCUGAAUGGUCUGUUAGCCAUUUUACGUGCAAGAACCAACUACACUCUUCCCGAAGAUGCGCGUACAUUACUGGGAACAAAGCAAUGCGGAAAAGAUAUUGUUCCAAUCGAAGGAGGAGAAUUUUGGUUCCCGGGAGUACGAUCGGUGCUUAACAGACACUUUCGUAACGUGCAACCAAAUGUGAGUUUAUUCUCAUUGAACCUCUCCAUCGAUGGACUUCCCUUGAACAAGAGUACCCGCAAACAGUUUUGGCCAAUACUGAUGAGCAUUCAGGAACUGCCUGAAGUGCCAGUGCUAAUGGUUGGAAAUUUCUUUGGAUCAUCUAAACCAAAAAGUGUCGAGCAAUACCUGAGGCCGCUUGUAAAUGAGCUGAAUGAGAUGAUACAGAAUGGCAUUGUGAUAGCCGAUAAGCUCAUCCAAAUACGCGUUAGAGCUAUCAUCGCAGAUUCACCAGCUCGUGCGUUCAUAAAAGGUGUUGCAUACUUCAAUCAUAAACUUGGGUGCCAAAAAUGUACAGUAGAAGGAAAACAUCACAGUGCGGCACGUGUUUCCUAUUUUCCCGAUAUCGACGCUCCAGUAACAACGGAUGAAGAUUUCCGUGCAUUGAAAUAUGGUGACCAUCAUAGAGAACCAUCUCCGUUCAUAGAUUUGCUCUUCUUUGACAUGAUCAAAGGUUUCCCUACAUCAGAUUGCCUGCAUCUGCUUGACUGCAGAAUAACCAGAACAUAUUUUAAUUGUUUGAAAUCAGGCAAAUUGGGAAUGCAUCGCAAGUGGUCACCAGAUACAAUUAGUAGGAUUAAUAAUGUUCUUCAAAACGUGGAAAUACCUACAGACUUUCACCGCAAGUUCCGCAAUAUCGAAGACACAGGCUUGUGGAAAGCCAGUGAAUUCAAUAUGUUUUUGCAUUAUGCUAGCUUCAUAGUAUUUAAAGACAUACUAACAGAAGAAGAUUAUAAUCAUUUCAUGUUAUACUACUGUGCAGUUACACUGUUCUCAACCAAUGUGUAUAGAGAACAUUGGCCUGAGGCAGAUCGUAUGCUAAAACAGUUUGUAGUACAGUAUGGUGUAUUGUAUGGUGAACAUCGUUUAACCAGUAAUCUACACAGUUUGGUGCAUGUUUACGAUGAUGUAUGCACAUUUCGAGCCCUUAAAACUUUUUCUACCUAUCCUUUCGAGGAUAAGUUACAGCAUGUGAAAAACUCCCUUCGAAACGGGCACAAGGUUUUGGCGCAGGCUGCAAACAGGAUAUCGGAGCAAACACCACAUUCAACAGUUAGCAAGCAUCCAGCAUUCCCGUAUUUAGAAUGCAAAGGUAGUGGAGUAACAUUGCAUAUAAAUUAUAAUAUGCGUCUAUAUCCAGGUACUCAAGAUAAUUGGUUUUUAACUAAGGAUUUUUAUAUUGCUAAAUAUUGUAAGGCAGAAAAAAUAGGAUCAACGAUUAACAUUUAUGGGACAGCAUUGAACAAAAUAACAGAAACUCAUACAUUCUUUUGUUCGCCUAUGAUGAAAGAUAUAUAUGAGGCAAAUACAAGCGACUUUACCAUAGAAUCGAUAGUUUUUUCACCAACAGAUAUCAAGUGUAAAUUAGUAGCUAUUAAAACGGACGACACGAACUAUGUAUUUGUACCUCUCAUACAGACAUUAGUUGAAUAAAUAACUGUAAAAUUUUGAAUUAUCAAUUGUUAUGUUAUAAUAAAAAGUAAUAUUGUAAUUGUUUUCGAAAAAAUAAAUAAUAAUCACAUAUAAUCUGGUGUAUAUUACAUUGUAUUUGCGGCAAUCAGUAUACUGAUGAACCUUUCACUAUUAAAUAUUUACUUUUAUCACAUACAAAGUUGACUUAGUUGUUUACGUGAUUGUUUCAGGUUUUAGUCAGUGUUUAAUUUAUCACAGCUUGUGUUACUUUCGUAUCACAUUUUUUGUCAUAAUUUUAUAUGACAGCAGUCUUUAACGUGGCCGGAUCGAACAACGUAUCCCAUUUGGAUCGUUUUGCUAUACGCAGGACGCAGCUACGAAUAAAGUUAAGAUAGUCAGAAUUAAAUAUAUACACUACUUAAACCUAUGUUUGAUACGGUGGACGGAUGAAUGCUGCUUGCUGACGACUGCUCUUCGUGAAAUGUUGAUCCCGGUGAUGAUGAAACACACGGUUCCGGUGUCAUGCUUGGUGACGGCUGACGGAAUCCUUGAUGCACGACAGUCGUUUUUGCCGGUCGCGCAAAGUCAUGCGCGCAUGAACCAGCAGCUGAAGCAACAGACGAUUUCGGCGUCACACUUGUGGUCGCUAGUGGAACAACACGCACGGAACUAGCAGGCACAAGAAUCAUCCCACGUAUCGCUUUCGUUGAGGGCUGCGAUCCUCGCUUUUGUGCCAUCGAUCCUGCCGGACGCGUAGCGAUAUCCACGGAACCAGCAUUGAGAGCAGUAGAAGAUUCCGACGUCGCAGACGAUCCUGCCGGCUGCGGAAUGACACGCAUGGAACCUGCAGUGGGAACAAAUGCCGGUACCGGCGUCGCACUAGUGGACGGCUGCGAUCCUCGCUUUUGUUUCACCGAUCCUGCCGGUCGCGUAGCGAUAUCCAUGGAACCAGCAUCGGGGGCAAGAGACGGUUCCGGCGUCGGUCUUGAUGACGUUCGCGGUCCAAAAACACGGACGAUCGCUCCUGUGGAGCAUAACACAGCCGAAGGCAGUUGUUGCAGUGCAAAAAGGCGCCCUUUCUUUGGUGGUUCCGACAUUAUAUUUUGGCUGAAAUAAUCAAUCGUUUUAUUAUUUUUUAUGUGAAACUGCUGAGUCGAAUUUGAAUGCUGCUUUGCGCCUUGAAAUCUGAAUGUUUAUGUUUUCAGCUGUGACUUUGAAUAAAGGGUAACAAUCACACGCA